UAUUAAAGUUGUUGCGGUUAAAAAGCUCGUAGUUGAAUCUGUGUCUCGCGCUGUCGGUUCACCGCCCGCGGUGUUAAACUGGCACGCCCGCGAGACGUCCUGCCGGUGGGCACGGCGGGUCGCGUCGCCUCGGCGACCGUCACGCCACCCGACUUGUAAUCCUAGCGCGGUGCUCUUUACUGAGUGUCGAGUUAGGCCGGCACGUUUACUUUGAACAAAUUAGAGUGCUCAAAGCAGGCUAAAACUUCGCCUGAAUAUCGUGUGCAUGGAAUAAUGGAACAGGACCUCGGUUCUAUUUUGUUGGUUUUCGGAACCCCGAGGUAAUGAUUAAUAGGGACAGAUGGGGGCAUUCGUAUUGCGACGUUAGAGGUGAAAUUCUUGGACGUCGCAAGACGGACAGAAGCGAAAGCAUUUGCCAAAAAUGUUUUCAUUAAUCAAGAACGAAAGUCAGAGGUUCGAAGGCGAUCAGAUACCGCCCUAGUUCUGACCAUAAACGAUGCCAGCUAGCGAUCCGCCGACGUUCCUCCGAUGACUCGGCGGGCAGCUUCCGGGAAACCAAAGCUUUUGGGUUCCGGGGGAAGUAUGGUUGCAAAGCUGAAACUUAAAGGAAUUGACGGAAGGGCACCACCAGGAGUGGAGCCUGCGGCUUAAUUUGACUCAACACGGGAAACCUCACCAGGCCCGGACACCGGAAGGAUUGACAGAUUGAGAGCUCUUUCUUGAUUCGGUGGGUGGUGGUGCAUGGCCGUUCUUAGUUGGUGGAGCGAUUUGUCUGGUUAAUUCCGAUAACGAACGAGACUCUAGCCUGCUAAAUAGGCGAUACUCAAUCCGGCAUCUCGAAGGCUCGCGCGCGCCGUCAGCCGUCGCGGCCGGGUCUACGCGCCGUCGUCGGUCGUUCGCUGUCUCGACAGCGGCGGUCGUGCGUUCGGUGCGCCCCGUGCUCGCGCGGUCGGCGCGUCGCGGUUUUUACUGCCGGCGUACAAAUGAAUCUUCUUAGAGGGACAGGCGGCUCCUAGCCGCACGAGAUUGAGCAAUAACAGGUCUGUGAUGCCCUUAGAUGUUCUGGGCCGCACGCGCGCUACACUGAAGGAAUCAGCGUGUCCUCCCUGGCCGAGCGGUCCGGGUAACCCGCUGAACCUCCUUCGUGCUAGGGAUUGGGGCUUGCAAUUCUUCCCCAUGAACGAGGAAUUCCCAGUAAGCGCGAGUCAUAAGCUCGCGUUGAUUACGUCCCUGCCCUUUGUACACACCGCCCGUCGCUACUACCGAUUGAAUGAAUUAGUGAGGUCUUCGGACUGGCGCGCGGCGAGGUUCCGACCCCGCCGACGUCGCUGGGAAGAUGCCCAAACUUGUUCAUUU
rnacentral:rRNA from 1 species